rnacentral:tRNA from 1 species
GCCUUGGUAGUGAAGUGGUCAAGACGCUCGCCUGGUAAACAGGAGGGCGUGGGUUCAAUCCCAGCCGAGGUA